rnacentral:rRNA from 1 species
GACGAACGCUGGCGGCGCGCCUAACACAUGCAAGUCGAGCGAUGAAAUUUUAACCGCUCUCUUCGGAGAGAAGAUAAAAUGGAUUAGCGGCGGACGGGUGAGUAACACGUGAGAAACCUGCCUUUCACAAGGGGAUAGCCUCGGGAAACCGGGAUUAAUACCCUAUGACACAUUUCCUUCGCAUGGAAGAAAUGUUAAAACUCCGGUGGUGAAAGAUGGUCUCGCGCCUGAUUAGCUAGUUGGUGGGGUAACGGCCCACCAAGGCCAUGAUCAGUAACCGGCCUGAGAGGGUGAACGGUCACAUUGGAACUGAGACACGGUCAAAACUCCUACGGGAGGCAGCAGUGGGGAAUAUUGCACAAUGGAGGAAACUCUGAUGCAGCGACGCCGCGUGAGCGAUGAAGGCUUUCGAGUCGUAAAGCUCUGUCCUAUGGGAAGAUAAUGACGGUACCAUAGGAGGAAGCCCCGGCUAACUACGUG